rnacentral:lncRNA from 1 species
CUUUAGUCUAGUUACCGGAGAGAUAUUAAAAGGAAAAGGAGGGAAAGACCACAAACAACUGGGAAACUAUUUUUGGCCUUCUUCAACCAUGAGAACCAGCCACCGAACAGGAAGAAAGAAAGCACCAUCACAAGGCAAGAAGGAACGUAGUCCACUUAGCUAAGAAUCGGGGAGAGAGAUUAGAAUCUUGUUUUCCUAACUUAGAGCCAUAAGAACCAGAGGUAAACUAUAGCCUUUCUUUCCAUUUCUUUUGCAUUUAGCUAGUAGUCUCUUAGGCUGAGUUAGAACCAAGUAAAGAAGGAAACUUUCUAGAAAGCAAAGAUCAACAAAGCUGGAAAUGUUCGUUUGAAGUUGUUAUCCGAUAUUUGAUGAGCUAAGCUGUAAUUUUCUGGUUGUUUCUUAUGUUGCAUAUCUUAUAUACACUCUCUAGCCAUAUAUCUUGACAUACAUACAGAUUAUAUCUUCAAAUAAAACCUGUUAAGAUGAAAUUAUGAUGAACUGCUGGCUGGAAUUCUUGAUACAAUGAAGGAUGAUUGCCGAUGGGGUAAAGUUGGAAAGAAUUUCGGUUUCUGGCCAAAUGUUUUGUUGAAACUGGUUAGGACUUGUUUGGUGCACCAUCGGUGACCUUAAUCUGAUCAUGCAUGUAAUGUUUGAAGUGCUAAAACCAAGAAAAAAAUGAGUUCUGGCCUAGGAAAAUUCUGUUCAAUGACUAAUUAGUUGUUGGAGAAAUUCUGUGACAGCCGAGAGAGUACGGAACUGGACUUGCAGCAUGUAAUCUGAAUUUUCUUUGGAGAAUUAUGCUAGGAAUGUAUGAAAUAUGUUUAUCUCUGAUCUUAUAGGAUAUUUAUCUCCAAAACUAGUAAAAACAUUGAUAAACUUGGCUGGAAAUGUCAAUGAAACCUGCUGGAACCUGUUGGGAUGGUCGAAAGAGAGAAAUGGUGAAAUUUUCCAGUUUUCUCCAUGGAUUUUGGGGUUGUAAAUUGCAUAUUGUUGUUGUUCACACCUUAUAAUAAUUUAAUAUUGACAUGCAUGUAACACUUGAAAGUUUAAAAGUAAGAAAAGAUGAACUUUAGAGCAGGAACAAAUCUGGAACAUUAAGACAGCAAACUAGGAGGAAAGAAGAACGCUGCAACUUUGGUUAUUUUCUUGGAAAUUUUGCUUGAUCAUAACUGAAAUCCAUGCUUUAUGCCUUGUCUAAUGUUUUUAGAGUGAUGCAUGUAAGAUUUAGAGCUAGUUUGUGUUUGUUUUAUAGCUGGUUUACUUGCUGGAAUUGCUCCAACUUGGCCAAGAGAAAAGGAGUUUGGUUUUCCAACUUAUAUCAGAAUUUUUAGUAAUUUGACCUGCACAAAUCCUGUUGUGUGCUCAUUCUUUGGUGUAUGUAUUUCGUAACAUAUGUUCUGUUUUUGGUUCUAGCGAAAGUUGGUUGUUUAAGAGUGAAAACUUAAGGAACAUUGCUAGAAUUUUUUUUUAAUGAGGGCCGAGAAGAGGGAGAGCAAGGGAAAUUUCAGCUUUAACUCCCUAAUGUUGGUUACUAAUAAGUAUAUCCUUGCUUCAUAUAUCUCUUAACAUCUAAAACUAGACAUGCAUGAGGUACGCGUUGAGUUUUAAUUUAGAAAAGACUAAUUUAGGAGGAAACGGAAGAAGUGAACCUGGACAAUUAUUCUACCUUUAAGACUAAAUCUUAACCUUAAUUAAUUUUGGUUUUAACUUGAGUUGCUCGAUAGAUUUUAUACAAUAUUAUUGUGCUUAAACUUAGCCAAAUUAUACUAAAGUGAAUGAUAUAUGUACUUGGGUAUCUUCUAAUGAUUAAACUUGGUAUAACCAACUUAGAAUCGGGAUUGGGGAUGAAAGUAACUGCACUUAGUGACUAUUCCUAGAAUUAUACCAUAAUCAUAGUACUUGAAAUUUGUCUCAGGAACUACUAGUGGGCGUGAAAGCAAUCUCGAGACUGAAGUGCAACUUGUUUGACUAAGUAAGUGCUUUCACAUUGUGUGUUUAAAUUGCCUAUGUAUUACUUAAAUGAUGUUUAUAUGAUUAUACUAGUGCUUUAUUAUGAAAUGUUUUCAAUUGUCCCUCGCCUUCUAAGUCGGGAGUGUACUUUAUCGCAUUCGACUUAGUUUGAGCUUGAGCUCGAAGGUUGAUAAUUGAUCAAGUGUUAUUGUAAGUGUGCAUGACUGUAAGCCGUGUGUGUACUUUACCACACCGGCUGAACUGGGCCCCAAAACCCUUUGUUCAAAGGACUAUUCGAGCUAGCAAAAGGGUUUGGUCGGAUAGGGUGGUAGCUUUGGGUAACUACAUUGGUAUGCUCGAGUAUUACCACGGAGUAGCAUAUUACUGAUAUUGAUAUGACCAUCUAAGUGAGGGAAGUGUUUAUUAUUUUGGAGGUUAUAAGGAGGACUUCGGUGGAGUGUGUAGUGCAUUGAAGUGGCUCUAAUGCGAGCACCGUAUCCUUUUAAAAGUGAUUGUUCAGUGAAGUGUUCUCUAAUUCAUUCAGUGAAGUGUUUCCUUAAUUGUUUAAUUUUGCUACUUGUUUAAGUGUUUAAUUGAUUGCUGCUUGUGUGGAACCUCACUGAGGUUUAGCUCAACCUUUUAGCUUUGUUUUCCUUAUAGGAGUUAGAGAUUGAAGAGUGAUUGGAUUGAAUUAGAAAGUUAUUUUGGGAAAAUCCGUUACUGUGCGUAUAUAUUGUAGUCAUGGUUUCUUUUGUAUUUUGAGACGGUUGAAUCUUUUGUUUUGAGUAGGUGUGAUAUUAAGAAUGGAUGUUUAGAACAUGUAUUUUGUUUCUUUUAUUGGACAAACUUAUGUUUUAAGCUAAUUGGAGUUGUACUUAAGAGUGAAUGUUCAGUUGUUCAAUGGUUAUAUUAUCUCUGAAGUUAAUGUAAGAUAUGCAAGAUUAAAGAGGGUUUAUCAAAUGUUAUCUUUGAAGAAUGAGUCCUGGCGAGAGCCAGGCGGGCGGUCCGCUAACUUCUAGGGUAUGCCCUAAGAGAAGGUAGGGCCGUCACACCAUGAACAGUUGUCUCUGAUUGAUAAAAAGUGAUUGAAUGCUGUUUAUUAUGGACAAUGUUACUACAAGCGAAUAGCUUAUACUUAUAACAAGAAAGUCGAACCUCACCUAUUCGAAGUAGGAUACAAGAUCUUGAAGCGAAUUCUUCUAGUUUAGGAGGAGGUUAAAGGGAAAUUCGCUCUAAAUUGGCAAUGACCCUUCAUUGUUAAGAAGGUGUUGACCAGCGGGCACUUAUUCUUAUGAAAAUGGUGGGCAAGUUUUUCCUCAACAAAUCAAUUUAG